UAUUUUCGUGCGGCAGAGGAGUGGCUGCGCGCGCAGCCUGAACGGCCGCCGUUUCAUGAAAGCCGGCACAGUACAUUGGUAACAGGUGGUCCACGUUGAUUGGUCGAGCGACGGGAAUCGAAGAAGUCCCCUUCGACAGCACGUGCGGCCGGUGGCGCAUUUACACGGCGGACGUGAACGCGCGCGUAUCGCUCCGUCUUCUCAUCACGGAAGUCCACCUUACCGAUCGAAGGUCAGCGACGAAGCUGCUGUCGAAAGCUUACAUUGCGAGCUUGCUUCCGUGAGCGCGAAACCUUCCCUAUUGGUGGCCCGAUACGUUCGUAGGUGCACGGGUGUUGGCUAUCGAUCCCUGCUGUCCCGAUUUCCUGCAUGUUCAUUGGCGCCUCGGUUGCUAACAGUGCGUCGUAUGGUACAGUGCGGGCUCCGUUCGAUCAGUGGUGUGGCCUUACUGUUACGCUUAAGAUAUUUGUGCAAUUAUACUCGUUUCCACGGGGUGAUUUUCUCCCGUUCCACGUUGGACCGAAAGUGUACACCAUAAACAUCCUUCGCAGAUCGUAUCCGUGAACAAUGGAUAGACGAGGCGAGAUCGCGUCAGCGUUCUGAUGAUCUUUAACUCCCAUGGGCAGACAGUGCGAUCCAUCGACCGGCAGCAGAACCACUAGGAAAGACCAAGGAAGCCUAUCAUGGAAUUCUACGACGUGGGAACCAGCGACCUUAGGGAGUUGUGGGAGUCUUACCUCUCCGAGACGGUGAGUACCGUAAAACUUCUGUGUUCGCUUCUCGUUCCCGCCGAAUAAACGCGACGUUACACCGUUUCUCUCGCGCCAUCUUCAUUCCCAUCGUGAAAGUGCUAGUUUUCGAUCGGCCCAACGAAAGGAAACGACGCUCCGCGGGCGUUGGAAAAAUGGACAACACUGCAAUUGUUCCCCUUGGCGUCCAUUGUUCUUCCAAGGGACUCGCUAUUCAAUUCCGGAGUUGGAAUUACACGUUGAAUUUUUUUCUCUAGUCGAAUAAUCGCCUUGGAGUUUUCUUCGGGAGUCAAUUUUUCCUUCAGUGGAAUUCUCCAUCUUGUCUCAUUCGAUCGUUUAUAUAUUAAUUACACAUCGAAGAGUAAUCAUGGCGACGGUGAUUCUCGUAUCGCGGGGAACCUUUGUGUGGUCUUUGAUAAAAUUCGAUACCACGUGUGUCGCAAUUUCGUAACCCACCUAAUUAAACAUCGUACCAGCAGCCAUAGUAACAGCGAAACGUUCGCUACAAUUAUUUUCGAAAGAGGCACGUGCGUUACCUGCGCCCCGAGCUCUCCUCCAUUACGGUUCAGUUACGCUCGGCAAACACAACGAAACGAACAUUCUUCAAGUCUGUACCAAGUAUUCAUCUGCUGUAACCAUGGGAGAAGUCCAGCGCUCGAGCGUAAACGCUCCGCGUAUUAGCGUCAGUUUAUUCACCUGUAUAAACAAACGUCGUCUAAAGGAGGCCUACAUUGCCAUCUCUUAACCAUCGAGGAACCACGCGUGUAGUACAAGGGUUACGCUCGGUAAUUAACGCAUUUCAGAAGUGUGUUGAUAAUAAUUAUCAACGCUUAUAAAUGUGCCUGAGAAAUCGUAGUUGAACGUAAAUCUUGUAGUAGGAUGUUCUCGUUGACUUUGUUGUUAAACUAUCGACACGUUUGAGUGCUUUCAUGAUUGUCAACACAUGUAAUUAUUUAAGAAUUAAGAGGCAUAGAAGGUACGAAGACUUAUGGGAGUAUACUGACAUUUUCUUGGAAUGUUUGUAUGAUGGCCAUUAAAGUCUAAAUUGAAUGAUGGGUUAGAUGUUCCUAAAUAAAUUAUUUGUUAUAAAUAUAUACACGAGUAAGAUUUAUUUAUGUACAUAUUUAUAACGAAAUAUUGAUUUAGGACCAUCGUACCUAUCAUUUAAUUUGGACUCAUUUCUUCAAUAAACAUAAAGCAGAACAUAUAACUGCAUGGGUGUAUCAACUAUUUAAUUAAAAUUAACGUAAGGUUUGUUUAUGUACAUAUUUAUAACGAAAUAUUUAUUUAGGGCCAUCGUACCUAUCAUUUAAUUUAGACUCAUUUCUUCAAUAAGCAUAGAGGGCACAUAUAACUGCAUUGGUGUAUCAACUAUUUAAUUAAAAUUCGAUUCGUUAAUUGUCUGUCCCAUAUCAUGUUUGAAAAUAUAUAUUCACUCGUCAGAUAUGUGCAAUCACGUCCAUUCGGUUGCGUCAUUAAUAUCGCAUUUACGGUCGUAUUAGUCACUUUUAAUAUGCCCCCCUCGAGCCCGUAAUCGCUUUACCAUUUACUAUGUAAUUACUAUUUAGCGACCCCAACGGUGUUCCCUCUUAUCGAAUAUUCAUCGCCAUAAUUUCCUUACCCCCUUGACCCGUCGAUCCCUUUUACGGUGAUUCUUAACGACGGUGUCUUUCCGAGCACAAAAUUACCGCUCGGUGUAAUUGCAACGGCAAUUUUUAUUUAUAACCCCCUCCCCUCAGCAUCGAUAAAAGGGUAUCGUACUGGAUCGGUGAAUAUUCAAAUUCCCGACCGUGAAGCUGACAUAGGAACGAAAAUAUAAAUAAACUACGCAUCUAAAAAAAAAAAGAAAUAA